rnacentral:rRNA from 1 species
UACGGGAGGCAGCAGUGGGGGAUAUUGCACAAUGGGGGAAACCCUGAUGCAGCGACGCCGCGUGAGUGAAGAAGUAUUUCGGUAUGUAAAGCUCUAUCAGCAGGGAAGAAAAUGACGGUACCUGACUAAGAAGCUCCGGCUUAAAUACGUUGCCAUGCAGCCG